rnacentral:rRNA from 1 species
AUUGAACGCUGGCGGCAUGCUUUACACAUGCAAGUCGAGCGGGGUUUUCGGACCUAGCGGCGGACGGGUGAGUAAUGCGUAGGAAGCUACCCGAUAGAGGGGGAUACCAGUUGGAAACGACUGUUAAUACCGCAUAAUGUCUACGGACCAAAGUGUGGGACCUUCGGGCCACAUGCUAUCGGAUGCGCCUACGUGGGAUUAGCUAGUUGGUGAGGUAAUGGCUCACCAAGGCGACGAUCCCUAGCUGGUUUGUGAGGAUGAUCAGCCACACUGGAACUGAGAAACGGUCCAGACUCCUACGGGAGGCAGCAGUGGGGAAUAUUGGACAAUGGGCGCAAGCCUGAUUCAGCCAUGCCGCGUGUGUGAAGAAGGCCUUCGGGUUGUAAAGCACUUUCAGUAGGGAGGAAGCGUUGUGUGUUAAUAGUACACAGCGUUGACGUUACCUACAGAAGAAGCACCGGCUAACUCUGUGCCAGCAGCCGCGGUAACAC